rnacentral:rRNA from 1 species
UACAGAGGCCCCAAGCGUUACUGAGAAUCACUGGGUUUAAAGGGUGCGUAGGUGGUCCGUUAAGUUCGAUGUGAAAUCCCUGGGCUCAACCCAGGAAAUGCUUCGAAUACUGGCGGACUUGAGGCUAGUAGAGGUCACUGGAACUGACGGUGGAGCGGUGAAAUGCGUAGAUAUCGUCAGGAACGCCGAUGGUGAAGACAGGUGACUGGGCUAGUUCUGACACUGAGGCACGAAAGCGUGGGGAGCGAACGGG